rnacentral:rRNA from 1 species
CUCGCACGCUGGCGGCAGGCUUAACACAUGCAAGUCGAGCGGGCACUUUCGGGUGUCCGCGGCGGACGGGUGAGUAACGCGUGGGAACGUGCCCUCUGGUUCGGAAUAACUCAGGGAAACUUGAGCUAAUACCGGAUACGCCCUUUUGGGGAAAGGCUUGCUGCCGGAGGAUCGGCCCGCGUCUGAUUAGCUAGUUGGUGAGGUAACGGCUCACCAAGGCGACGAUCAGUAGCUGGUCUGAGAGGAUGAUCAGCCACACUGGGACUGAGACACGGCCCAGACUCCUACGGGAGGCAGCAGUGGGGAAUAUUGGACAAUGGGCGCAAGCCUGAUCCAGCCAUGCCUCGUGAGUGAUGAAGGCCUUAGGGUUGUAAAGCUCUUUUAUCCGGGACGAUAAUGACGGUACCGGAGGAAUAAGCCCCGGCUAACUUCGUG